rnacentral:rRNA from 1 species
AAACUCAAAGGAAUUGACGGGUCCCGCACAAGCAGCGGAGCGUGUGGUUUAAUUCGUUGCUACACGAAGAACCUUACCUGGGUUUGACAUAGCAGUGGUAGGGAAGAGAAAUCGGACCGACCUUCGGGAGCUGUUACAGGUGUUGCAUGGCUGUCGUCAGCUCGUGUCGUGAGAUGUUCGGUUAAGUCCGCUAACGAGCGCAACCCGCGUUGUGUGUUAUAUGUGUCACACAAUACCGCCGGUAUUAAGCCGGAGGAAGGUGCGGAUGACGUCAAGUCAGCAUGACCUUUAUAUCCAGGGCUACACACACGCUACAAUGGACAGUACAACAGGUUGCCAAGCCGCGAGGCGGAGCCAAUCCUCUAAAGCUGUCCUCAGUUCAGAUUGCAGGCUGCAACUCGCCUGCAUGAAGUUGGAGUUGCUAGUAACCGCAGGUCAGCUAUACUGCGGUGAAUACGUUCCCGGGGAUU